GACAGAGGGUGCAAACGUUGUUCGGAAUUACUGGGCGUAAAGCGCGUGUAGGCGGCCCGGAAAGUCGGAUGUGAAAGCCCUGGGCUUAACCUAGGAAGUGCAUUCGAAACUGCUGGGCUUGAGUUCUGGAGAGGAAGGCGGAAUUCUCGGUGUAGAGGUGAAAUUCGUAGAUAUCGAGAGGAACACCGGUGGCGAAGGCGGCCUUCUGGACAGUGACUGACGCUGAGGAGCGAAAGCGUGGGGAGCGAACAGG
rnacentral:rRNA from 1 species